UUUUUUUUUUUUUUUGGUCUCUUUUUUCUUUUUUUUUAGAGCCACACCCGCAGCAUGUGGAGGUUCCUAGGCUAGGGGUCUGAUCAGAACUGUAGUGGCUGGCCUACACCGCAAUCACAGCAAAGCCAGAUCCGAGCCACAUCUGCGACCUAUACCACAGCUCACGGCAGUGUCAGAUCCUUAACCUACUGGUCAAGCCCAGGGAUCAAAGCUGCGUCCUCAUGGAUGCUAGCCAGAUUCGUUUCCACUGAGCCACGAGGGGAACUCCAUAUAUUAUGUAAACUUUAAAAAAAAAAAAAUGCUACACUUCUUGCACACUGAAGCUGGAACACUAACUGCUUGUAGCCAAGCGGGUAUUGGCUACAUUUCCACUUCAGAAAUUUCACUGACGUGGUUAUAAAUAUCAUGACUGCUCUAGAAAAUUGACUGCUUCGUGGUGGUGACUGAGGGCAAACACAUUUCUAUUUUUUCUGCUUCAGAUUCAGGAAGAGGUUGUCACUAACUUCGGGUUUGCUGUUUUGGUGGAACUGAAUUAAGGGCGCCCGUGUACAUACAUCCGCUCGCACAGCCACGUGUUCAUGGAAAAUGAAACACAUCUCAUCUAUGUCAAUAAUGCCAGUCCCUUUAACAGCUUCUAUUGAGACUCUUGGAAACGAAAAAGGACAUCUUUCACAAAGAGGCUGACAAAUUUCUCUAGGGGCCUUAGCUAAGUGUUCUCGUAAGAAUUGCUGAAACUGUAUACAGUUGGCCCUUCGUAUCCACAAGUUCCGCAUCCAUGGAUUCAAUCAACCUCGGAUAAAAAUUAUGCGGAAAAAAAAUUCCGGACAGUUUCAAAAAGUAAAACUUGAAUUUGUGGUGAAUGUGCAACUGUUUACAUAGCAUUUACACUGCAUUAGGUAUUAUAAGCAACUAAAAGAUGAUCUGAAGUACAAAGAGGAUGUGUGUAGAUUAUAUACAAAUACCAUGUCUUUUUUUUGUGCGUGUGUGUGUCUUUUUGCCUUUUCUAGGGCUGCUCCCUCGGCAUAUGGAGGUUCCCAGAUGCUGCGGGUGUGGCCCUAAAGACCAAAAAAAAAAAAAAAAAAACUGGGCAGGGGAUAUAAAUAGACAUUUUCCCAAAGACAUAUAAAUGGUCAGAAGGCACAAGAUGUUCGACAUCGCUAAUUAUUAGGGAAACACAACUCAAAAAAAGAUAUCACGUCCAACCUGUUGGAAUGGCUAUUAUCAAAAAGAAAAGGAAUAACACAUGUUAGAGACGAUGUGGAGAAAAGAGAAUCCUUGCCUUGUAUAUAGCUGGUAGGAAGGCAAAUUGGUGCCACCAUCACGGAAAACUGUACGGAGGUUCCUAAAAAAAUUAAGAAUAGAACUGCCAUUUGACCCAGCAGUUCCACUUCUGGGUAUCUAUCUGGAGAACAUGAAAACACUAAUUCAAAAAGCUAUGUGCACCCCUAUGUUCACUGCAGCAUUAUUUACAACAGCCAAGAUACAGAAGCAGAGAUGGAUGAAUGGAUAAAUGUGUGGUAUACACACACACACACACACACACACACACACAGAGGAAUACUACACACAGUCACAAAAAAUCUUGCUACUUGUGACAACAUAAAUUGACCUUGAAGUUAUUAUACCAAGUGAAAUACGUUAGAUGGAGAAAGACAAACAAUGAAUGAUUUUACUCAUUUGUGGAAUCAAAACAAAAUGAAACAAAUGAACAAACAAAAUAAAACAAACUCACAGAUACAGAGAUCAGAUCACUGGUUACUAGGGGAGGAGGGGGUUGGGGUGAGUGAAAUGAGUAAAAGGGUCAGAUGUGGGGAUGGUCACUAGCC
rnacentral:lncRNA from 1 species